rnacentral:miRNA from 1 species
AGAUUGAGACUUGUAUGGCUU